AGAUGGCUCAGUGGAUAAGAGCCCUGGGUCCUUUUCCAGAGGACCUGGGUUUGAUUCCCAGCAUCUA
rnacentral:tRNA from 1 species